AAACGUUUUAAAACGUACAGCAGAUUAUACCGGUGAGAUUCCAUUUGUUUUUGCUCAGUACUACGUAAAAUAGAAUAUUCUAUUAGUGACGAGUGUUUAAUGGGUUUCUGAAAGCACAGUACGCAGGAUAGUGGAGCAAUGGAGUAAAAAUGAAGGAGAAUAUCUACAAAAAAUAAAUAAAAAUAUGUAGUUUUCAAA